AUCCAGUUGAAGAGUCCCAAAUAGGACAAAACGCGUGUCCUAGUAU
rnacentral:hammerhead_ribozyme from 1 species